rnacentral:rRNA from 1 species
GGAGAAAAGCAGGGGAUCGCAAGACCUUGCGCUCUUGGAGCGGCCGAUGCCUGAUUAGCUAGUUGGUGAGGUAAAGGCUUACCAAGGCGACGAUCAGUAGCUGGUCUGAGAGGACGACCAGCCACACUGGGACUGAGACACGGCCCAGACUCCUACGGGAGGCAGCAGUGGGGAAUUUUGGACAAUGGGGGAAACCCUGAUCCAGCCAUGCCGCGUGAGUGAAGAAGGCCUUCGGGUUGUAAAGCUCUUUCAGCCGGAACGAAACGGUCACGGCUAAUACCUGUGACUACUGACGGUACCGGAAGAAGAAGCACCGGCUAACUACGUGCCAGCAGCCGCGGUAAUGCGUAGGGUGCAAGCGUUAAUCGGAAUUACUGGGCGUAAAGCGUGCGCAGGCGGUUUUGUAAGUCAGAUGUGAAAUCCCCGGGCUUAACCUGGGAACUGCGUUUGAAACUACAAAGCUAG